rnacentral:rRNA from 1 species
CCUACGGGGGGCAGCAGUGAGGAAUAUUGGUCAAUGGGCGUAAGCCUGAACCAGCCAAGUCGCGUGAGGGAUGAAGGUUCUAUGGAUCGUAAACUUCUUUUUUAAGGGAAUAAAGUGCGGGACGUGUCCCGGUUUGUAUGUACCUUAUUAAUAAGGAUCGGCUAACUCCGUGCCAGCAGCCGCGGUAAUACGGAGGAUCCGAGCGUUAUCCGGAUUUAUUGGGGUUAAAGGGUGCGUAGGCGGCGUUUUAAGUCAGCGGGGAAAGUCUGUGGCUUAACCAUAGACUUGCCGUUGAAACUGGGAGGCUUGAGUAUGUGAGAGGCAGGCGGAAUGCGUGGUGUAGCGGUGAAAUGCUUAGAUAUCACGAAGAACCCCGAUUGCGAAGGCAGCAUGCCGAGUCAUGACUGACGCUGAGGCACGAAAGCGUGGGGAUCAAACAGGAUUAGAUACCCUAGUAGUC